rnacentral:RNase_P_RNA from 1 species
GGACCAGGCUAGACAGCUGCUUUUGUCCGCCGCCGCAAGGCUUUGGCGUGAUGAAAGAGGAAAGUCCGAACACGGGCCGUUCUUCGGGACGGCAGAAAGGUAGCGGGUAACGCCCGCACGCUGUGAGGCGCGAGGUGCCUACAGAAACGUCAACGCCGAAAGGCCGCGAAUUCCCCUGUGGAAUACGCCCGUCGCGAGGUGGGAAUGCAACGAACAAAUCCUUACCCCCGUGCAAGGCCGUGCCCGACUUCGGUUGGGAGUGCCGCUCGAGGUGUUGAGUAAUCAACAUCCCAGAUAAAUAGCUGCCAGACCCUCCGUCGCUAAAGCUAUGGAGGGCGAACAGAAUUCGGCUUAUCGGCCCGGUCCAUAA